rnacentral:rRNA from 1 species
CUUUCUCCGCCGGCGACCGGCGCACGGGUGAGUAACACGUAUGCAACCUGCCCCUGUCAGGGGGACAACCCGCCGAAAGGCGGGCUAAACCCGCGUACAUGCCACCGGGGCAUCCCGGAGGCAGGAAAGGCUUCGGCCCGGGACAGGGGAUGGGCAUGCGGCGCAUUAGGCAGUAGGCGGGGUAACGGCCCACCUAACCGACGAUGCGUAGGGGUUCUGAGAGGAAGGUCCCCCACACUGGUACUGAGACACGGACCAGACUCCUACGGAAGGCAGCAG